UUGCCAAGGAACACACUAGUGCCUCUUUGGAUCCAGGGGGCUUUACGUGGGGUGACUGAGCAGAGGAGGGGAACAGAAGUGAACAGAAGCUUGGAAUGUUCUUGCCUUCAGUCCUCUCUCUCUGCCAGCUCCCUCUGAUUCAAAGACCGUGUCCUCAGCACAGCCUGUCCGCAGGCCCAGCAGUCCCCACGUUAGCAGGCAUCUGCAAUCUACCAUUCCUUCUUCACUCAGUUCCCGUCACCAGUGGCCGGCCUAGGCCAGGCCCUGUGCCAGGGGCUAGCAGUACAGACUCCCUGCCCAUCCUCAGCUGGCUCGCAGACGAGGAGGCAGAUAGACACAGCAACUGGCAAGUUUCUUUCCUGCAGUGCAGAAAGCCCAGUGAUGCAAGAGAGCAGACAAACAGGAAAUGAGAACAAAAGACAAAAUGAAGCCAGGGGAAAAGAAACUCCCCGGGAGAGGUGAGGAUGGAGCCAAGUCCAGAGUGCUGCCUUGAGGAGAAAUGGCUUUUCUGGAAGACAGAGCUACAGGUGCAGGAGCCAGAGGCUUCCUGGCUCUCAACACCCAGAGGGAAAGAAAAGACCACUCAUUCUUGUUUUCCAGCACAAGGAAACCCAAAGAGGAGGCAUAGUGAGAGAGCAGAAGCAUCCUGCAGCUGAUGGAGGCUGGCAGCUGACACUGCGGUUCACCAAAAGGCCCAUUUGAAUGACAGAGGGGGACAAAGAUGCUAUGUGCUGAAUGAAGCUGUAAAUUCACUGACCUGAACCCUCUGCAUCAGUCUUAGAAGCAACACCUUCUUAGAAUCAAUUUCCCAGAGCAAGGGGCUGGGAGAGAGCGGCCCUCCUCCACAUGAAUAGGCCCUGGGCCCCACAAGACCUGGGGCUGGCCCUGUUUGCUCCCCUGAUCUCUGUCUGCUAUCUGGGCUCCAAGCCCCCUUCCUGUACCUGGCAGCAGAAUAGUAUCAGCACCACUGAGCACAGAAGAGGAAAGCAAUUCUUGCCCCAAACUCAAAGCCACCCUUUUAGGAAGCCCUACAGUAAAUCAGGUUCUUCCUCUUUCUGUGGGAAACCUAAGGAAGAUUUUAAAAUUCUGAUCUGCUUGUCAGAGCAGAACGCACAUAGAUGGAUAAUGUCUUGUGACCUUAAGGCCAGCUAGGAGCAAGGUACCUAUCAAGGUGACAUCCCAAGCCCCUGUUGUAAAACAGACUGUGAGUCUGGCUUGGAACCUAGCAGACAAAGCACAAGGGACCCAGACUUGGGACUAGACCUGGCCGUAUGUCUCCAUGAGGUUUGAGAUGUCUGAUCUCAGUGUGCCUGAAAACAUCACCGCGUUAGUUGCUUACUAAAAUGUCUUAUUCACUCAGAAAUUUAAGAGGGGAUGCAGCCGAAGUCAUAGAAAGACGAUUCCUUUGUGUGGAAUGAAAACUGAUGAGAUGAGUAUUGACUGACUGUUUACUGUGUGCUAAGCACUUUACAUGUAUUACUUUAUUAAAGGCUCAUUGUAUCCAUGA